AGAGGGUGCAAGCGUUAAUCGGAUUUACUGGGCGUAAAGCGCGCGUAGGCGGCUAAUUAAGUCAAAUGUGAAAUCCCCGAGCUUAACUUGGGAAUUGCAUUCGAUACUGGUUAGCUAGAGUGUGGGAGAGGAUGGUAGAAUUCCAGGUGUAGCGGUGAAAUGCGUAGAGAUCUGGAGGAAUACCGAUGGCGAAGGCAGCCAUCUGGCCUAACACUGACGCUGAGGUGCGAAAGCAUGGGGAGCAAACAGGAUUAGAUACCCUGGUAGUCCAUGCCGUAAACGAUGUCUACUAGCCGUUGGGGCCUUUGAGGCUUUAGUGGCGCAGCUAACGCGAUAAGUAGACCGCCUGGGGAGUACGGUCGCAAGACUAAAACUCAAAUGAAUUGACGGGGGCCCGCACAAGCGGUGGAGCAUGUGGUUUAAUUCGAUGCAACGCGAAGAACCUUACCUGGCCUUGACAUAGUAAGAACUUUCCAGGGAUGGAUUGGUGCCUUCGGGAACUUACAUACAGGUGC
rnacentral:rRNA from 1 species